rnacentral:rRNA from 1 species
AACGAACGCUAGCGGCGUGCUUAACACAUGCAAGUCGUACGAGAAAUCCCGGGCAACUGGGAGAGUAAAGUGGCGCACGGGUGAGUAACGCGUGGGUAAUCUACCUUGGAGUUCGGAAUAACACCUCGAAAGGGGUGCUAAUACCGGAUAUCGUCCUCGAGGUUUCGGCCUUGGGGAUGAAAGAUGGCUGAGGCUUGCAAGCUAUUGCUCCAAGAUGAGCCCGCGUACCAUUAGCUAGUUGGUGGGGUAACGGCCCACCAAGGCAAUGAUGGUUAGCUGGUCUGAGAGGAUGGCCAGCCACACUGGAACUGAGAUACGGUCCAGACUCCUACGGGAGGCAGCAGUGAGGAAUCUUGCGCAAUGGGGGCAACCCUGACGCAGCAACGCCGCGUGAGUGAUGAAGGCCUUCGGGUCGUAAAGCUCUGUCAGGUGGGAAGAAAGUUUUCAGGGUAAACAAUCCUGGAGAUUGACGGUACCGCCAGAGGAAGCACCGGCUAACUACGUGCCAGCAGCCGCCGUAAAAC